rnacentral:rRNA from 1 species
CAGGCCUAACACAUGCAAGUCGAGCGAGAAAGGGGAAACCCCGGUAAAGCGGCGCACGGGUGAGUAACACGUAGGUAAUUUACCCCCAGGUGGUGGAUAACCUUCCGAAAGGAGGGCUAAUACAGCAUAAGACCACGUCUUCGCAAGGAGAUGAGAUCAAAGCCGGCCUCUUCACGAAAGCUGGCGCCAGGGGAUGAGCCUGCGGCCCAUCACGGUAGUUGGUAGGGUAAUGGCCUACCAAGCCUAAGACGGGUAGCUGGUCUGAGAGGAUGAUCAGCCACACUGGAACUGAGACACGGUCCAGACUCCUACGGGAGGCAGCAGUGGGGAAUCUUGCGCAAUGGGCGAAAGCCUGACGCAGCGACGCCGCGUGAGUGAUGAAGGCCUUCGGGUUGUAAAGCUCUGUGGGGAGGGACGAAUAAGUGCCGGCUAAUAUCCAGCGCGAUGACGGUACCUGUUUAGCAAGCACCGGCUAACUCUGUGCCAGCACCC